CCCAUAUCCUUGAUAUCAUCUUUGGGGCUGAUUGUCAGUGCAUAGAGAGGCCAGAAAAAGACUACUGUGGAAUAUUUAAACUGUUAAACUGGCUGAAGAGCCGAUCAGGACACUGAAAAGUCAACUAAUCGGAGUAGUGAAGAGCGCGUUGUUGGCAAAGAAAACUGGGAGAGAAAAUUUCACUUAGAUGCAGUGAUCCACUAAAUGUCUCCAUGCACCAUUUUCAGAACACACUUUCCUCCAUGGGCAAUUGGAAUGCCUUCACCUAAGCUUGGUGGAGUGAAGAUGUGGAUUUCAGGCAGUUGCUGCUGGAUUUCUUACUGAAGGGGAACAACAGUCUCACAAGAAGUCUGAUUGUUUUUUUGGAGGGCUGCUAAAUAGGAUUAUUGUCCCUCUGAUAGAGGCAGGGAAUGUUGGAAAUGCUGAACAUAUCUGGUGGUAUCUUUGCAGAAAGUAACAGUGGUCAGUCACCUUUCAUCAGAACGAGAUAAAUGAAGAUUAUACUUGUAUUCAGUGAAAAACGUGUACCUGAAGCAUUGAGCGGAUAAGCAAAUUUACCAAAGCAGCGUACACAAACUGUGGGAUCUUACAAUAUUUGAGAUAUUUAUGACAAUAUACCAAGGCCCCACUGAUGGCACCCUCCAAACUCACAACCUGAGCCAGCUAGUAAGCCAAGGGUAACAGAUACAAAAGAACAUCACCGCCUACAAGCUCCUUUUCAAGCUACGCAUCAUCCUGUCUCGGAAUGAUUUUGCCUGUCUGGGUCAGAAUUUUAGACAUCCCUUACUAACAGCACUUGUGGGUGUACUAACACCAUACUCAUUAUAGCAAUUCACGGUGGCAGCUCAGCACUAUCAAAUGCUGACUCAGCAGGGGUGGUGUAUUGGAAAUGUCCUAAAUUAGU